ensembl:lncRNA
GUUGGGAUGAAUAGGGUAUGGGGUUGGGAUAUGGGAUUGGGGUUGGGAUAUGGGAUUGGGAUAUGGGGUUGGGGAAUGGGGUUGGGGUAUGGGAUGGGGGUAUAGGAUGGGGGAUGGGGUUGGGGUGAAUGUGAUUGGGGUAUGGGAUGGGGUUGGGUAAUGGAUUUGGGACAUGGGUGGGGUGUGAAUGGGGUUGGGAUGUGGGUUUGGGAUGGGGGGUGGGGUAAUGGGAUUGGGAUAUGGGGUUGCAGUGAAUGGGGUUGGGAUGUGGGGUUGGGAUAUGGGAUUGGGGUGAAUGGGGUUGGGCAAUGGGAUUGGGAUGUGGGGUUGGGGUGAAUGGGGUUGGGAUAUGGGGUUGGGUAAUGGGUUUGGGAUGUGGGGUUGGGAUGAAUGGGGUUGGGAUGUGGGGUUGGGAUAGGGGUUGGGGUGAAU